AUAAGCGCACACGGUGGAUGCCUAGGCGGUCAGAGGCGAUGAAGGACGUGGUAGCCUGCGAAAAGUGUCGGGGAGCUGGCAACAAGCUUUGAUCCGGCAAUAUCCGAAUGGGGAAACCCACUGCUUCGGCAGUAUCCUGCAGUGAAUUCAUAGCUGCUGGAAGCGAACCCGGUGAACUGAAAUAUCUAAGUAACCGGAGGAAAAGAAAUCAACCGAGAUUCCCUAAGUAGUGACGAGCGAACGGGGAACAGCCCUUAAGCUGGAAUGGCUUUAGAAAAACAAUCUGGAAAGAUUGGCCAUAGAAGGUGAUAGCCCUGUAUUUAAAAGGGCCACUCCAGUGAAGACGAGUAGGGCGGGGCACGUGAAACCCUGUCUGAAUAUGGGGGGACCAUCCUCCAAGGCUAAAUACUCCUGACCGACCGAUAGUGAACCAGUACCGUGAGGGAAAGGCGAAAAGAACCCCGGAGAGGGGAGUGAAAUAGAUCCUGAAACCGUGUGCGUACAAGCAGUAGGAGCUCGCAAGAGUGACUGCGUACCUUUUGUAUAAUGGGUCAGCGACUUACUGUUCGUGGCAAGCUUAACCGUAUAGGGGAGGCGAAGGGAAACCGAGUCUGAUAAGGGCGCAUAGUCGCGGGCAGUAGACCCGAAACCGGGUGAUCUAGUCAUGGCCAGGGUGAAGGUGCCGUAACAGGUACUGGAGGCCCGACCCCACGUCUGUUGCAAAAGACGGGGAUGAGCUGUGAUUAGGAGUGAAAAGCUAAUCGAACCCGGAGAUAGCUGGUUCUCCUCGAAAGCUAUUUAGGUAGCGCCUCGGACGAAUACUACUGGGGGUAGAGCACUGUUAUGGCUAGGGGGNNNNNNNNNNNNNNNNNGCUAACGUCCGUCGUGAAAAGGGAAACAACCCAGACCCACAGCUAAGGUCCCAAAUUCACUGCUAAGUGGAAAACGAUGUGGAAAGGCACAGACAGCCAGGAGGUUGGCUUAGAAGCAGCCACCCUUUAAAGAAAGCGUAAUAGCUCACUGGUCGAGUCGGUCUGCGCGGAAGAUUUAACGGGGCUAAGCAGUGAACCGAAGCUUGGGGUGCAUAAAACUUGUUUUAUGCGCGGUAGAGGAGCGUUCCGUAAGCCUGCGAAGGUGGAUUGAGAAGUCUGCUGGAGGUAUCGGAAGUGCGAAUGCUGACAUGAGUAACGAUAAUGCGGGUGAAAAGCCCGCACGCCGAAAGCCCAAGGUUUCCUUGCGCAACGUUAAUCGACGCAGGGUUAGUCGGUCCCUAAGGCGAGGGCGAAAGCCGUAGUCGAUGGGAAGCAGGUUAAUAUUCCUGCACCUCGCGUGAGUGCGAUGGAGGGACGGAGAAGGUUAGGUGUACCGGGCGUUGGUUGUCCCGGGGAAAGGCGGUAGGUUUGAAUCUUUGGCAAAUCCGGGAUUCUUUAAGACCGAGCACCGAGACGAGCCUUUAUGGCGAAGUCACUGAUACCACGCUUCCAGGAAAAGCUCCUAAGCUUCAGCUCACGAAGACCGUACCGUAAACCGACACAGGUGGGUAGGAUGAGAAUUCUCAGGCGCUUGAGAGAACUCGGGUGAAGGAACUAGGCAACAUGGCACCGUAACUUCGGGAGAAGGUGCACCCUUUUUGGUGGCUCAUGCGAGCUAUAGCUGAAGAGGGUCGCAGAAACCAGGCCGCUGCGACUGUUUAUCAAAAACACAGCACUCUGCAAACACGAAAGUGGACGUAUAGGGUGUGACGCCUGCCCGGUGCUGGAAGGUUAAUUGAUGGGGUCAGCCGCAAGGCGAAGCUCUUGAUCGAAGCCCCAGUAAACGGCGGCCGUAACUAUAACGGUCCUAAGGUAGCGAAAUUCCUUGUCGGGUAAGUUCCGACCUGCACGAAUGGCGUAACGACAGCGGCGCUGUCUCCACCCGAGACUCAGUGAAAUUGAAAUCGCUGUGAAGAUGCAGCGUUCCCGUGGCAAGACGGAAAGACCCCGUGAACCUUUACUAUAGCUUUACACUGAACGUUGAGUUCGUCUGUGUAGGAUAGGGGGGAGGCUAUGAAACUGUGGCGCUAGCUGCAGUGGAGCCAUCCUUGAAAUACCACCCUGUCGUGCUUGACGUUCUAACCUAGAUCCGUUAUCCGGAUCAGGGACCGUGUAUGGUGGGUAGUUUGACUGGGGCGGUCUCCUCCUAAAGAGUAACGGAGGAGCACGAAGGUACGCUCAGCGCGGUCGGACAUCGCGCACUGUGUGCAAAGGCAUAAGCGUGCUUGACUGCAAGAUCGACGGAUCAAGCAGGUACGAAAGUAGGUCUUAGUGAUCCGGUGGUUCUGUAUGGAAGGGCCAUCGCUCAACGGAUAAAAGGUACUCCGGGGAUAACAGGCUGAUACCGCCCAAGAGUUCAUAUCGACGGCGGUGUUUGGCACCUCGAUGUCGGCUCAUCACAUCCUGGGGCUGUAGUCGGUCCCAAGGGUAUGGCUGUUCGCCAUUUAAAGUGGUACGCGAGCUGGGUUCAGAACGUCGUGAGACAGUUCGGUCCCUAUCUGCCAUGGGCGUUGGAAGUUUGAGAGGGGCUGCUCCUAGUACGAGAGGACCGGAGUGGACGAACCUCUGGUGUUCCGGUUGUCACGCCAGUGGCAUUGCCGGGUAGCUAUGUUCGGAAGCGAUAACCGCUGAAAGCAUCUAAGCGGGAAGCGCGCCUCAAGAUGAGACUUCCCGGGGCACAAGCCCCCUAAAGGAACCAUAUAGACUAUGUGGUUGAUAGGUCAGGUGUGUAAGUACAGCAAUGUAUUGAGCUAACUGAUACUAAUGAUCCGUGCGGCUUGACC
rnacentral:rRNA from 1 species